GCCCUAUUGUAGAUCAAAAGUGAUCUUUGUGUGUCUUUAAAAAGGGAAGAAGGAAUGUGUAAAAAAUUGACUCCCUACUCAUCACCCUGCAUUUUCGAGUCUUGACAAUCAUAUCCUCCUCCUGCCCACACAGAGAAGAAGAAAAAUGGCAAGUCUUACAGUUCCGGCAGAAGUUCCUUCAGUGGCUGAAGACUGUGAACAACUCCGAUCUGCCUUCAAAGGAUGGGGAACGAAUGAGAAGUUGAUUAUAUCAAUUUUGGCUCAUAGAAAUGCGGCUCAACGCAAAUUGAUUCGACAGACUUAUGCUGAGACUUUUGGGGAAGAUCUGCUUAAAGAGUUGGACAGAGAACUUACUCAUGAUUUUGAGAAAUUGGUGGUAGUAUGGACACUGGAUCCUGCAGAACGUGAUGCCUAUUUGGCUAAGGAAGCUACUAAGAGAUGGACAAAAAGCAACUUUGUUCUUGUGGAGAUAGCUUGUACCAGAUCUCCUAAAGAACUGGUUUUGGCAAGAGAAGCUUAUCAUGCUCGUAACAAGAAAUCUCUCGAAGAGGACGUUGCUUAUCACACUACUGGGGAUCACCGCAAGCUUUUGGUACCUCUUGUGAGCUCCUACCGAUAUGGGGGAGAUGAGGUGGACUUGCGACUUGCUAAAGCAGAAUCUAAAGUGCUGCAUGAGAAGAUCUCCGAUAAGGCUUACAGUGACGAUGAGGUCAUUAGAAUUUUAGCCACAAGGAGCAAAGCGCAACUCAAUGCUACUUUGAAUCAUUACAAAGAUGAAUAUGGUGAGGAUAUCCUAAAGCAAUUUGUUGAAGUGUAAUUCUUUCCUAAAACCUGACCAAGCUUUUGACAUUUCUGUAAAGAAUGCUGCUAUUAUACUGAAAAGAUCAUACAAUAGCUUACAAGGAAGCCCACAUCUGCUUAAGUUGCUUCCCGGAAUUGGAAUCCUUACUUUUGCAGUUUGGGGUCUUGCACCAUUUCUGCGUCGAAGUAGAAAUAUACUCCUUCAUAAGAGUGAUAACAGCUGGGGAAAGAGUGGUACAUAUCAUGUUAUGACCUUUUAUCUUCAACCGUUACUGUUGUGGACAGGGGCAAUGCUUGUCUGCAGAGCAUUAGACCCGAUGGUGCUACCAACAGAAGCUAGUCAAAUUGUUAAACAACGGCUUCUGAAUUUUGUAAAAUCAUUGUCUACCGUGCUAGCCUCUGCAUAUUGUUUGUCCAGUGUUAUUCAACAAGCACAGAAGUUUUUUAUGGAGACAAGUGAUGCAAAUGAUACCAGAAAUAUGGGCUUCCAGUUUGCUGGUAGAGCUAUUUAUACUGCAGUGUGGGUCGCAGCUGCGUCAUUAUUCAUGGAGUUGCUAGGUUUCUCUACACAGAAAUGGCUAACGGCGGGAGGACUUGGAACAGUAUUGCUGACACUUGCCGGUCGUGAGAUAUUCACGAAUUUUUUUUCAAGUAUCAUGAUCCAUGCCACCCGUCCGUUUGUCCUUAAUGAAUGGAUUCAAACCAAGAUUG
rnacentral:misc_RNA from 1 species